rnacentral:rRNA from 1 species
CAGCAGCCGCGGUAAUACGGAGGGUGCUAGCGUUAUUCGGAAUCACUGGGCGUAAAGCGCGCGUAGGCUGCCAUGUAAGUCAGAUGUGAAAGCCCUUGGCUCAACUGAGGAACUGCAUUUGAAACUGCGUGGCUGGAGUACCGGAGAGGGCGGUGGAAUUCCCGGUGUAGGAGUGAAAUCCGUAGAUAUCGGGAGGAACACCAGUGGCGAAGGCGGCCGCCUGGACGGUAACUGACGCUGAGGCGCGAAAGCGUGGGUAGCAAACAGGAUUAGAUACCCUGGUAGUCCACGCUGUAAACGAUGGAUGCUAGGUGUCGGGAGUUGUUCUUUCGGUGCCGCAGUUAACGCGAUAAGCAUCCCGCCUGGGGAGUACGGUCGCAAGGCUGAAACUUAAAGGAAUUGGCGGG